rnacentral:rRNA from 1 species
CAGCAGCCGCGGUAAUACGAAGGGGGCUAGCGUUGUUCGGAAUUACUGGGCGUAAAGCGCACGUAGGCGGACAUUUAAGUCAGGGGUGAAAUCCCGGGGCUCAACCCCGGAACUGCCUUUGAUACUGGGUGUCUAGAGUAUGGAAGAGGUGAGUGGAAUUCCGAGUGUAGAGGUGAAAUUCGUAGAUAUUCGGAGGAACACCAGUGGCGAAGGCGGCUCACUGGUCCAUUACUGACGCUGAGGUGCGAAAGCGUGGGGAGCAAACAGGAUUAGAGACCCCCGUAGUCCCUGUCUCUUAUAC